GCCUGGCUAGCUCAAUCGGCAGAGCGUGAGACUCUUAAUCUCAAGGUUGCGGGUUCGACCCCCGCGUUGGGCU